GUGAGGAAUAUUGGUCAAUGGGCGGGAGCCUGAACCAGCCAUGUCGCGUGAAGGAUGAAGGUCCUAUGGAUUGUAAACUUCUUUUGCAGGAGGGUAAAGUGAGCUACGUGUAGUUCAUUGCAAGUACCCUGCGAAUAAGCAUCGGCUAACUCCGUGCCAGCAGCCGCGGUAAUACGGAGGAUGCGAGCGUUAUCCGGAUUGAUUGGGUUUAAAGGGUGCGUAGGCGGACUAAUUAGUCAGCGGUGAAAUUUUGCGGCUCAACCGUAAAACUGCCGUUGAAACUGUUAGUCUUGAGUGCGGUAGAGGUAGGCGGAAUGUGUGGUGUAGCGGUGAAAUGCUUAGAUAUCACACAGAACACCGAUUGCGUAGGCAGCUUACUGGAGCGCAACUGACGCUGAGGCACGAAAGCGUGGGGAUCGAACAGGAUUAGAAACCCCAGUAGUCC
rnacentral:rRNA from 1 species